ACUAUAUUUAGACACAGUCUCGCGCAAUUUAUUUGUUACGCGCAGUAGAAAAUGUUCUACAGAUAUUCUGCUUGUGCGCGAGACUAUUAAAAACAUGGCGGACGUAGUAAUGAUUUUCUAAAAAGUGGUGAUAAAAAACUUCAAAAUAUUUCUUCUACACUUUUAGGUUUCUUGACAUUCCUGACGAGGAGCCACAACUGGUGAUAUUCAGCUCAACCGAGACAUCUCCGACUCCGAGAGUAAUACCUUCUUUCCCAUUGCAUGAUGUGGAUCCUAAAACAUAUGAAUUGUGUGUUGAAGAUAGUACAUUGUAUAUCAUAAGUGCUCUUUGUAGCUAUAGAUAUGAUGCUUGUUUUGAUAAGAGGACAUCUAUUCAGCCAUUGCCAGGCCCCAUGAGUGACACGCUCUUAUUUUUCAGUUGUGGUCUUAAAUGGAAAAGUAAUGGCUCUUGGCGGGUUGGAAGGACGUACCUUAUUGGAUACUGUUAGUUGCAGCAUGUUAUGAUAUAAUGAGUUUCAAUAAAAUAUUGUAAGGCUUAA